rnacentral:rRNA from 1 species
GAGUUUGAUCGUGGCUCAGAUUGAACGCUGGCGGCAGGCCUAACACAUGCAAGUCGAGCGGAUGAAGGGAGCUUGCUCCUGGAUUCAGCGGCGGACGGGUGAGUAAUGCCUAGGAAUCUGCCUGGUAGUGGGGGAUAACGUCCGGAAACGGGCGCUAAUACCGCAUACGUCCUGAGGGAGAAAGUGGGGGAUCUUCGGACCUCACGCUAUCAGGUGAGCCUAGGUCGGAUUAGCUAGUUGGUGGGGUAAAGGCCUACCAAGGCGACGAUCCGUAACUGGUCUGAGAGGAUGAUCAGUCACACUGGAACUGAGACACGGUCCAGACUCCUACGGGAGGCAGCAGUGGGGAAUAUUGGACAAUGGGCGAAAGCCUGAUCCAGCCAUGCCGCGUGUGUGAAGAAGGUCUUCGGAUUGUAAAGCACUUUAAGUUGGGAGGAAGGGCAGUAAGUUAAUACCUUGCUGUUUUGACGUUACCAACAGAAUAAGCACCGGCUAACUUCGUGCCAGCAGCCGCCGUAAC